UGAGUGGGCCGGGCGGUCGCGGUAGCGUCGAAAGGCGGUAUCGAGGAAAGUCCGAGCUCCACAGGGCAGGGUGCUUCGUAACGCGAAGGCGGGGUGACCCGACGGAAAGUGGCACAGAAAACACACCGCCUACGUCCGCCAUGGGCGGGCCGGCAAGGGUGAAAAGGUGCGGUAAGAGCGCACCAGCGGCUUGGCGACAAGCCGGCUUGCUAAACCCCACCUGGAGCAAUUCCGAAUAGGGGGGCGAUGGAGUGGCCCGCUCCGCCCCCGGGUUGGAAGCUGGAGGCCUGCGGCGACGCAGGUCCUAGAGGAAUGGCCGCACAGGGACGGUUCGCCGUCCUGGACAGAACUCGGCUUACAGGCCCACUCACCAU
rnacentral:RNase_P_RNA from 1 species